ensembl:lncRNA
CGCACUUCACUUGAAGGUUUAAUAGGCAACACUGCAUCCUGCAUCAGAAGGUUGGCUGGUCCUCACUAAAGUCCCGUAGAUCACUUCAUUAUGCAAUUUUUGUGCAUGCAUAAGUGUUGCUCUCCACUUUCUGGAGGAUCAAGUUUUGAAAUCAGUGGAAUUAGAGUAUGAUAGGUAAAAAGAUGGAGAAAACAUCUGUCUCUGAAUUACAUCUUCAAACUAAGGGCAACCGUGGUAUGACAUUCCUGACAGGGAGACACGUCCAUCAUGUAUGAUGAUGUAUACAGAGGUUGCAAAAAUAGAUCUGCUGUUUCACAGGGUGUGAAACCUGGAACCAUCGACAAGAUGGUUAUAUCCAAAUUGCAUGGCAGAAGGAGUGAGAAGCACACUCUGCAAAGGAAUGGUUGGACUUUUGCCAGAUCUCUCUGUGCUGAAGGUAGAAGAGACCUACAUGGAUUUCCACUUGUAAUCACCAUUGGCAUGACUGUCGACAGGCCUCUAGUGUGACUCUGCUUCCGGGUUGGUGUAGAAGGAGAGGGUCCUAUCUUACCAGCAGCUGAAGCUUACUAUUAAGCACAUCAAACUCCACCAAGAUGCUCCACCAAAUCCAUCCCUACCUCUAGACCCGGAGGUCACAGGGGUGACCAGAGAGAAGGCAGACUCCUAUUACUCCAAAGUGUGCAUGCAGAAGUACUUGUCUGUGAAGCCACAGCACUAAACCUGUUUCAGCCCUAGUCAAAAGAUCCUUUAGGAUUACAAUAAAAUAAAAAAUCAUAUUAGAAUCCAAUACAAAAUCUGAAUUUGGAAUCUGUCCUAUAAUACACUGGGUCAAAAAAUCUGAUAGUGUUUUUCUAUUGGGGCGGCAGGGUAGCCUAGUGGUUAGAGCGUUGGACUAGUAACCCGGAAGGUUGCAAGUUCAAAUCCCCGAGCUGACAAGGUACAAAUCUGUCGUUCUGCCUCUGAACCCACUGUUCCUAGGCUGUCAUUGAAAAUAAGAAUUUGUUCUUAACUGACUUGUCUAGUUAAAUAAAGGUCAAAUAAAAUUAAAAUAAAUAAAAUUGGAUUCUUGUAUUGAAAUCCUAUAGGAUCCUAUAAGAUAAAAUCCUAUCCACCUCAUUUUCUAACAUUGCUUUGGGCACAGCCAAACAACGGAAGUGAUGGAUUUGACUUCCGCUUUACUGACCUACCAUAGCGCGCCAGUGGCAAACUUGCUCGAGUAAAUUAUUUGAAGGAGUUAAUUUAUAGAGUAUAAAAGUCAAGUAAACAAGUGCAAGUAUAAUUUUCUAUGUAUUUCAAUUUUUAGUUGUGUCAUGUAAGCAUUAAGGGCCAUCCACCAAACCAAUAACUAUAAUGAUAAACUAUAGGCUACAUAACUAGAAAACGUUGGUGAGCAUCCACACUAGAGGAUGGUUUAUCGUUCUACAGUCCUGAACCUGUCAAUCAACUGAAAAAUGCAGCCUACUGCAAGCUGACAAUUAAUAAGAUGGUAAGAAGACCAUUCAUGAGGUCUCUAACGUGCAGAUAAUGAUUCAGACCAUUGUUUUCAGGGUGUGUUCAUUAUCAUAGUAUCAACUGCAAAUAAUACAUAUAUGUACAUGUAUGCCUAAUGAAAAAUAAUAUAUUAAUUUAAAUGUAGCAAUUCACGUGCCUACAACAGCCACAACACACAGGCGGUGAUCCAUACAGUGAAGCCCCACUCAGUGAACUUUACUAUGGGCCCUAUUUACCUGGAAGAGAGCUGCGUUCCCACUCUCCUUGACACCGGUGCCAAAGUGUCUUUGCUAAAUGCAACAACAUACAACUCGUUCUUCCAGCACGUACCGCUGCAGGGUGCAAAUAUUAUGGGCCUGGACCUUUUUGUCAGUCUUGGAUUCUCUCUACAGGACAACAGUGGGGCCAAGAUACUACAUGUGUCUUCUCCAUGGCAUCAACAGUAUCAUGAGCUGUUUGUGCAGUGGUUUGGGGUGCCUGACUGCAUUCACACACAAACUGCUGUUUGACUCCAAGAUUCCUCCUGUAAUUCAACCGCUGCGUCAUAUUCCCCUGGCCCUCCGCAAUGACGUCGUGGAGGAUCUCCAAUGUCUCUUGGCUGAGGAUCUAGUCGACCCAUCAACGCCUCUCCCUGGGUGUCGAACUUGGUGAUCUUUCAGAAGAAAUCAAGAGGCAUCAGAACCUGCAUUGACAUGCAAGCAGCCAACAUGUCAACUGACAAAUAUCCACAAGGGAGGAGCUCACAACACACUUCAAUUUAUCAUAGGUACACUUCAACUUUGACAGACAAAAUGAGAAUAAAAAAAUCCAGAAAAUCAUAUUGUAGGAUUUUUUAUGAAUUGAUUUGCAAAUUAUGGUGGAAAAUAAGUAUUUGGUCAAUAACAAAAGUUUAUCUCAAUACUUUGUUAUAUACCCUUUGUUGGCAAUGACAGAGGUCAAACGUUUUCUGUAAGUCUUCACAAGGUUUUCACACACUGUUGCUGGUAUUUUGGCCCAUUCCUCCAUGCAGAUCUCCUCUAGAGCAGUGAUGUUUUGGGGCUGUUGCUGGGCAACACAAACUUUCAACUCCCUCCAAAGAUUUUCUAUGGGGUUUAGAUCUGGAGACUGUCUAGGCCACUCCAGGACCUUGAAAUGCUUCUUACGAAGCCACUCCUUCGUUGCCCGGGCAGUGUGUUUGGGAUCAUUGUCAUGCUGAAAGACCCAGCCACAUUUCAUCUUCAAUGCCCUUGCUGAUGGAAGGAGGUUUUCACUCAAAAUCUCACGAUACAUGGCCCCAUUCAUUC